AUGGAGGAACUCUGAUCCAGCCAUGCCGCGUGCAGGAAGACGGCCCUAUGGGUUGUAAACUGCUUUUAUACAGGAAGAACUGCAUCUACGCGUAGAUGUUUGACGGUACUGUACGAAUAAGGAUCGGCUAACUCCGUGCCAGCAGCCGCGGUAAUACGGAGGAUCCAAGCGUUAUCCGGAAUUAUUGGGUUUAAAGGGUCCGUAGGCGGUCUGAUAAGUCAGAGGUGAAAUCCUGCAGCUCAACUGUAGCAUUGCCUUUGAUACUGUUAGACUUGAGUUAUUGUGAAGUAGUUAGAAUGUGUAGUGUAGCGGUGAAAUGCAUAGAUAUUACACAGAAUACCGAUUGCGAAGGCAGAUUACUAACAAUAUACUGACGCUGAGGGACGAAAGCGUGGGUAGCGAACAGGAUUAGAUACCCUGGUAGUCCACGCCGUAAACGAUGGAUACUAGCUGUUCGAUCAACAUUGGUUGGUUGAGUGGCUAAGCGAAAGUGAUAAGUAUCCCACCUGGGGGGUACGCUCGCAAGAGUGAAACUCAAAGGAAUUGACGGGGGCCCGCACAAGCGGUGGAGCAUGUGGUUUAAUUCGAUGAUACGCGAGGAACCUUACCAGGGCUUAAAUGUAUGUUGCAUGAUUUAGAGAUAGAUCUUUCUUCGGACUACGUACAAGGUGCUGCAUGGUUGUCGUCAGCUCGUGCCGUGAGGUGUCAGGUUAAGUCCUAUAACGAGCGCAACCCCUGUCGUUAGUUACCAGCAAGUUAUGUUGGGUACUCUAGCGAGACUGCCGGUGCAAACCGCGAGGAAGGUGGGGACGACGUCAAAUCAUCACGGCCCUUACGUCCUGGGCUACACACGUGCUACAAUGGCCGGUACAGAGAGCAGCCACUACACAAGUAAGAGCGAAUCUUCAAAACCGGUCUCAGUUCGGAUCGCAGUCUGCAACUCGACUGCGUGAAGCUGGAAUCGCUAGUAAUCGGAUAUCAGCCAUGAUCCGGUGAAUACGUUCCCGGGCCUUGUACACACCGCCCGUCAAGCCAUGGAAGCUGGGGGUACCUGAAGUCGGUGACCGAAAGGAGCUGCCUAGGGUAAAACUAGUAACUGGGGCUAAGUCGUAACAAGGUAGCCGUACCGGAAGGUGCGGCUGGAACACCUCCUUUCU
rnacentral:rRNA from 1 species